AUUGAACGCUGGCGGCAGGCCUAACACAUGCAAGUCGAGCGAGCGGCGGACGGGUGAGUAAUGUCUGGGAAACUGCCUGAUGGAGGGGGCUAACUACUGGAAACGGUAGCUAAUACCGCAUACCAUCAGAUCUGCCCAGAUGGGCUUAGCUAGUAGGUGGGGUACCGGCCAACCUAGGCGACGAUUCCUAGCUGGUCUGAGAGGAUGAACAGCCAAACUGGAACGGAGACACGGUCCAAAAGCUGACGGGAGGCAGCAGUGGGCAAUAUUGCACAAUGGGCGCAAGCCUGAUGCAGCCAUGCGGCGUGUGUGAAGAAGGGCUUCGGGUUGUAAGGAACUUUCAGCGGGGAGGCGUUACCCGCAGAAGAAUCACCGGCUAACUCCGUGCCAGCAGCCGCGGUAAUAC
rnacentral:rRNA from 1 species